CUUUUCAUUGUGCUUGCCCACAGCUGUGGAAGUGCCUUUAUGGGAGAUCAGGAGAAUGUGGACGUCCUCUGUCUUCACAAAGAUAACUUCAUUGUGCUUGCUCACUACAAACCAUGCAUAUUAAAACAUCCCUCAGCAUCAAGAGAUGAUGGUGUGCUAUGCUGCAAGAGUCGAUCACCAGGAGAAGUUUAUAAACAAGAGACCUGUUUCCAGUUACAAGAUCCAAACCACCAACAUCAUCAGGAGGUGAGAACAAACCACAAGAAUAUCCACUUCCUUGGCGUUCCCAGGACAAUUUGGUAAUGGCUGAGUUUGACCUGAAAGAGGAGUAAACAUCCGUAUGCAAUAAGUCGACAAUCACCUACAUACAUCAUCUUUUCAUGUUGCCCCCUUACAGGUAUUUCUAUCUGUUCCCCCUCAUUUUAAUGUGCAUCAUAUUUCACUAUCACCUGAGAAAUGAACUGAAGUCAACUACACAUUCCUAUUCAUGCCUAGCUUCUGGCAGUCUACUAGUUACGCUUUCAGUCAAUCUAAACUGAGCAAGUCAUUUUUGAAAAUUAAGGGUACUGUACCAGUUACCAAAAUGUAAACAAAUGUUAACACCUUUGUUGAACAAAUUAUAUGGCAGUGAGUGAGCUUCAAAUUUGCAUUGAGUUGUACAACUAUGUUUUAUAUCAGUGUAUUUAAGGAUUUCCUUUUAAAUCAUUUGCACUCUUAUCUUCUGCAUUUUGACUUAUUUGAAAAAUUCCUUUCAGGUUUCUGAGUUCAUCCCAGUAGAAAGAUAGCACAGGGGCUUGUAACAGAUCCAAAGUACUUCCCUUCACAAAAGAGGCACUAGCUGCCAAGUAACAAAUAAUAAGAUACUGUCACUGCGAGGGUGAUAUUUGUUUAGAUCCUUAGCAAAACCACACUAGCAAUAAAAUAGAUCAACCAAAGAUGUCUCUGAGUCCCACGCCAGGAUCUUCUCUUUACAGUCCUUAACCUGCAGUAAUUAUUAAACAGCUCUGACUACAACCAUAUUUCCCCAAUCACUAUUUGAGCCAGAGUCCUUCUCUGUGAAGACCAGUUCCAUUUUAUUGUAUUUGAUGUAGAUUCUACUGCCAUUAUCGCUGUAGUAUCUGAGUGCUUUCCAGCAGUGCAUUAAAUAACAUGACUAACAGCUGUCACCAGGUGGU
rnacentral:lncRNA from 1 species